GACGAACGCUGGCGGCGUGCUUAACACAUGCAAGUCGAACGCUGAAGCCCGAGCUUGCUCGGGUGGAUGAGUGGCGAACGGGUGAGUAACACGUGAGUAACCUGCCCAUGUCUCUGGGAUAAGCGCUGGAAACGGCGUCUAAUACUGGAUAUGCACCAUGGCCGCAUGGCCUGUGGUGGGAAAGAUUUAUCGGAGAUGGAUGGACUCGCGGCCUAUCAGCUUGAUGGUGAGGUAAUGGCUCACCAUGGCGACGACGGGUAGCCGGCCUGAGAGGGUGACCGGCCACACUGGGACUGAGACACGGCCCAGACUCCUACGGGAGGCAGCAGUGGGGAAUAUUGCACAAUGGGCGCAAGCCUGAUGCAGCAACGCCGCGUGAGGGAUGACGGCCUUCGGGUUGUAAACCUCUUUUAGUAGGGAAGAAGCGAAAGUGACGGUACCUGCAGAAAAAGCACCGGCUAACUACGUGCCAGCCGCCGCAGUAACAC
rnacentral:rRNA from 1 species